CUCCCCUCCUCCCUGCCGGGGGGGGGGAAUAAAAAAAAAUAUCGGGAAAUCAGCAAAAAUCAUCAUAGUACAAAUAAUAAAAAAAAAAAAAAGAGAGAAAAAGAGAAAGAAAGGGAGAGAGGGGAAUCGAGGCGGCCCGCCCCCGCGCGCCGCGGCUGCGGGACGGCGAGCGGGGACACCUGCCCGCACAAAGGGCCGGGAGGGUGUUCCUGCAGCCCCGGAGCCGCCGCACGCCCAGCGGGCAGCGCUGCCCGGGGGAUGCCGGAGGGUGCCCGUCCCCACGCCCACACGCGGAGUGUCACGGAGGGGUCGCCAGCCCUGGAGAAGCGCCCGCGAGGCGCUGCCGUCACGCCCCCUCCGCCCGGGAGCUGGAGCGGAGCGGCGCAGGGGGCGGGCCGGGACAGGCGGCGGACACCUCCCGCGGAGCUCCGGGCCCCGCAGCGCUCACGGCGCUCAGUAAGCGCUGCCACCCAUCCCAAACCCCGGCGCGGAGCGAGGAAAAGGCUCGGUGAGGCCGGGGACGCGGCACGGGACGCGAGGUGGCAGCGCUGAGCCUCUUCUGCCAGACGUGGGAAAACGCGGAGCCAGCGAACCCGCGAUCAUUAUUUUUUUAAUUAUUCCCCCCCACCGUGGUUUUACAGAGCAGCAUAACGCUGCAAGUUUCUGACUGAAAUUCGGUGGGUUUGCAUCCAAGAGCGGCAGUGCCCACGCAGUCAGCUGUACGCCGCCGGAACAGCGUGCGGGCGAUGCCAAAUUCCCCACGCCAAGUUUAAGGGCAGAGGCACUGAGAAAACCCUUCUCACACACCGGGAUCUGUAGUUCGCCCUGCGCAUAGAGCAAGAGAGAUAGUUCACGAACAACACUCUGGACAAAUCUACUGCGGGACUGGGCACCGCAACCAUUGAUUCCAACAUUCAUCCAACAUCAUGGAAGCGUUCAAGAAGGGGUUGGAUGGGGCCCUGAGCAACAUGAUCUAGUGGGUGAUAGCCCUGCCCUUGGCAGGGGGGUUGGAACUAGGUGGUCUUUGAGGUGCCCUUCGACCCAAAUCGUUCUAUAUGAAUCUGCUAGUCUAUGAUUGAUUGCAGGCUCUAUGUGUGAAUCAGCAGGCAGUCCCCACCGGUUAAAACGUCUUAAGGACACGCAGAUUUAGCACCGCUCUUUCCCCCCGCCCUCUCUCCUGUUUUAAACCGAGGAUUACCAGCGCACAGGCUCCUUUAACUGCAGCCCUCGCCGUUGAUCUUUUCCACACCCCCA
rnacentral:lncRNA from 1 species